AAAUACUGCGUGAUGCCACUUAUAUGAGUGCUUUGGAACUUUAUGCGGAUCUCUGUGUUGAGCUUGGACUACUUUGGCAAGCUUGGUGCUUUAAAGGCAAUGAUUUGUACACAUGAAAUCGCUGUAUCAACAAGGAAUCUGCUCUCGUUUCUAAGGAGGAGCUGAUGAAGAUAUCGGUUUAGUGCGUGUGAUACGUGUGUGCCAGUUGUAGAUUUUUGGCUUGGAUGACAGGCUAAUGAUGGCCAUCUUGACCCUGUGAUGAUAAAAUUAAAUAUAUAUAAAUCUGAUAUUUCA